CUUCUGCUCACUAAAGUAGAAGUAAUUUCAAGUGGAGCAUUCUCUGGACUCAACAAUCUUCAUUCAGUUGAUAUUUCACAGAAUGAUGCUUUAAAGAGAAUUGAAGCAAAUGUAUUCUCAAACUUGCCGCAGCUCACUGAAAUAAGAAUAGAGAAAGCAAAUAAACUUGUGGAUAUUGAUCAGGAUGCCAUAUGGAAUCUUCCAAACCUCA